AGGAGAAUUACUGGAGUUGUGCCAAUAAUGAGGUUAUAUAAAUGAGCGUCUAGUUUUUAGUGAAAUCAUCAUCUGACAUUGUCCUCUGCAGGUCAUCCUCCCAUUUGUUCAUGCAAGGUGGGGGAAUAUUAUAUCUAUCAUUGACUAACAUAUUAUAAAUAAUGUAAAGGAUCAAAUUAGUGUCCCUCGCAAUAUGUCUCAAAUGCUGUAAGCUCUUGAGUGAAACUUCUUCUUUGAGGGAUACCACGUAGAUAAUGUAAAAUCUGGGCUUAGGUUUAUUCGUGGGUUUGGUUCAUGCCAACGGCCACUAGAGAACCAGCUUAAGGUUCCAUUCGCAUGAAGGGAAAGUGCCGAACCAAGGGCACCCAGGGCAAGCUACUAAUGGCGGUUGGGAAAAUUUAACUCCCGAACAGGGUCUUUGUAUAUGGCCCAUAGUCCUAGGGCAGGAGGCUAGCUGGCAGGCUCUUCCAGGAGCCCGUGGCAUAGGCACGUUUGCCACAGGUGAGUAUGUGGAGGAACGCAUGGGUAUUGUUUGUAAACAUGUCUGGCAGAGGUAUCAGAGAUUUGGAAUCCCUGCUCCAGGAAGAGGCAUCACUGCAAAUACAUGUUUGAGUGGUCCAUAUAUCUCCACGGGAAAAUCUGUGUUUUCCCAUAGAGGUAGCAUUGGGCCCUUGUCUGUGGUCAGGAACUAUCUAGAGCACCAUCUCUACC